rnacentral:rRNA from 1 species
CCUACGGGUGGCAGCAGUGGGGAAUAUUGCACAAUGGGGGCAACCCUGAUGCAGCGACGCAGCGUGAGUGAAGAAGUAAUUCGUUACGUAAAGCUCUAUCAGCAGGGGAGAAACACUGACCUUACGGUCAGCAGACGGUGCCUUAGUAAGAAGCCGCGGCUAACUACGUGCGAGCGGCCGCGGUAAUACGUAGGGGACAAGCGUUAUCCGGAUUUACUGGGUGUAAAGGGAGCGUAGACGGUGCGCCAAGUCUGGAGUGAAAUACCGCAGCUUAACUGCGGAAGUGCUUUGGAAACUGGCGAACUAGAGUGCGGUUGGGGUAAGCGGAAUUCGUAGUGUAGCGGUGAAAUGCGUAGAUAUCAGGAGGAACACCGGUGGCGAAGGCGGCUUACUGGACCGUAACUGACGUUGAGGCUCGAAAGCGUGGGGAGCAAACAGGAUUAGAUACCCUGGUAGUC